GACGAACGCUGGCGGCGUGCUUAACACAUGCAAGUCGAGCGGUAAGGCCCUUUCGGGGGUACACGAGCGGCGAACGGGUGAGUAACACGUGGGUGACCUCGCCCUCCAGCUCUGGGAGUAAGCCUGGGAAACUGGGUCUAAUACUGGAUAUGACUCCACGGUGCAUGUCGUGGGGUGGAAAGCCUUGUGCGGCUGAGGAUGGGCCCGCGGCCUAUCAGCUUGUUGGU
rnacentral:rRNA from 1 species